rnacentral:rRNA from 1 species
AGGGUUGUAAAGCACUUUCAAUGAAGAAGAAGUAAUGUAUGCUAAUAUCAUAUGUUAUUGACGUUAUUCAUACAAGAAGCACCGGCUAACUCUGUGCCAGCAGCCGCGGUAAUACAGGGGGUGCAAGCGUUAAUCGGAAUCACUGGGCGUAAAGCGUAUUUAGGUUGUUUAAUAAGUUAAAUAUGAAAUCUCUAAGCUUAACUUAGAAACUGUAUUUAAUACUGUUAAACUAGAGUAUUGUAGGGGAAAGUGGAAUUUUCGGUGUAGCGGUGAAAUGCGUAGAUAUCGGAAGGAACACCAGUGGCGAAGGCGACUUUCUGGGCAAAAAACUGACACUGACGUACGAAAGCGUAGGUAGCAAACAGGAUUAGAUACCCUGGUAGUCUACGCUGUAAACGAUGAGAACUAACUGUUAGAAAUAUACAUAUUUUUAGUGGUGUAGUUAACACAUUAAGUUCUCCGCCUGGGAAGUACGACCGCAAGGUUAAAACUCAAAGGAAUUGACGGGGGCCCGCACAAGCGGUGGAGCAUGUGGUUUAAUUCGAUGCAACGCGAAAAACCUUACCUACCCUUGAUCUUUGGAACUAUAUAGAGAUAUUUAGGUGCCCUAUUUCUUUGGGAGCCAAAUGACAGGUGCUGCAUGGCUGUCGUCAGCUCGUGUCGUGAGAUGUUGGGUUAAGUCCCGUAACGAGCGCAACCCUUAUUCUUAGUUGCCAGCGAUACAGUCGGGGACUUUAAGAAAACUGCCGAUGUAAAAUCGGAGGAAGGUGAGGACGAGGUCAAGUCAUCAUGGCCCUUAUGGGUAGGGCUACACACGUGCUACAAUGGUUAAUACAACGAGACGCAAGAUUGUAAAAUUAAGCAAAAUCUUUAAAAUUAAUCGUAGUUCGGAUUAGAGCCUGCAACUCGGCUUUAUGAAGUUGGAAUCGCUAGUAAUCGCGGAUCAGCAUGCCGCGGUGAAUACGUUCUCGGGCCUUGUACACACCGCCCGUCACACCAUGGAAGUAGAUUAUAUUAAAAGCAAUUAUUUUAACCUUUUUUUUUAUAAAGGAGAAAAAUUAUUAAAAUAUAAUU